rnacentral:snRNA from 1 species
AGCUUUGCGCAGUGGCAGUAUCGUAGCCAAUGAGGUUUAUCCGAGGCGCGAUUAUUGCUAAAAGGUACAUGAGAAGUUUAGAGAACUUGGUCAGCGUAGACAGUAUUCUUUGUUAGAGCCUAUGUCAUAGUUUAGCCACUGGACAAUUCAGCUUUUAUUAAAU